rnacentral:rRNA from 1 species
GACGAACCGUGCGAACGUUGUUCGGAAUCACUGGGCUUAAAGGGCGCGUAGGCGGGCUGCCAAGUCUGGGGUGAAAUCCCACGGCUCAACCGUGGAACUGCCUCGGAUACUGGCGGUCUCGAGGGAGGUAGGGGCGUGCGGAACUGUGGGUGGAGCGGUGAAAUGCGUUGAUAUCCACAGGAACUCCGGUGGCGAAAGCGGCGCGCUGGACCUCUUCUGACGCUGAGGCGCGAAAGCUAGGGGAGCAAACGGG